GAGAAGCUUCGAUUAAGGUUCGAUUCGAGCGCAGCGAGAAAGCGUUGCCGCAGGCAACGACCCGAAGGGCGAAGCGCGCAGCGCUGAGUCAUCCUUCCCCCACCACCA
rnacentral:sRNA from 3 species